UACGUAGGUGGCAAGCGUUGUCCGGAAUUACUGGGCGUAAAGCGUGUGUAGGCGGUGUUCUAAGUCUGUUGUGAAAUCUCCCGGCUUAACUGGGAGGGUGCGGCGGAGACUGGAAUGCUAGAGUGUGGGAGAGGUAAGCGGAAUUCCUGGUGUAGCGGUGAAAUGCGUAGAUAUCAGGAGGAACACCAAUGGCGAAGGCAGCUCGCUGGAACGGUACUGACGCUGAGGCGCGAAAGCGUGGGGAGCAAACAGG
rnacentral:rRNA from 1 species